rnacentral:tRNA from 1 species
GCCGGGAUGGCGGAAUUGGCAGACGCAGGGGACUUAAAAUCCCCCUCCAAAAGAGUACGGGUUCGAUCCCCGUUCCCGGCA